rnacentral:rRNA from 1 species
UACGGAGGGAGCUAGCGUUGUUCGGAAUUACUGGGCGUAAAGCGCACGUAGGCGGCUCUUCAAGUCAGAGGUGAAAUCCCGGGGCUCAACCCCGGAACUGCCUUUGAAACUAGGUAGCUAGAAUCUUGGAGAGGUCAGUGGAAUUCCGAGUGUAGAGGUGAAAUUCGUAGAUAUUCGGAAGAACACCAGUGGCGAAGGCGACUGACUGGACAAGUAUUGACGCUGAGGUGCGAAAGCGUGGGGAGCAAACAGG